CAAAAAGGAGAAUUCUCCAGGGGAGAAAUUCAGGAAGCAGCUGUUCCGGGGCUAUGGUCUGGCCAGGGUUCCAGCUCAGAGUCCAGACAAGUAAGCGUCGGACCAAAAAAACUCCACUUUGGAGCUAAACUCAACUGAAAUCCUCCUCUGCCGCUCACUGGCUCAAGGAGACAAAUCAGCGAACCUGUGUGAGUUUAAGAAAUCUGUGAAAUGGGAGUUCUAGGAACAUCAAAUAGGGAGGACUAAAUGGGGCAGAUAAAAGUUGCCCUAGUACCUGGCCUUGCAAGAACUGAACAAACGUUCAUUUCCUUUCUAUUUCUCUGGGUCAUAUGGAUCUCCAAAACCUGGUGGGACAAGGCAAAAAUAACUACGGGGAAAAUUGAGGUUCGGGCACUUUAACAAAGGAGUGGAAGGGCCAAAGUCUGAAACCCGGCUCCUCUUGCAAGUGAGUGCUCUUUCCCUGGCGAGAAGCGACAGCCUGAUGAAAAGGAACAUCUGGAAGGGCCAGCUUAAAGUCAGGAGGAGGCACAAUGCUGAGAAGCCCAGAAAGUUCACCAGAUUCCUCUGUGAUCAGGUCAACUUCAUUAAAAUGAACUAUGUUCCCCGAGGAUUUGAUCGCGGAGGUGGUGUUGAUUGCUGUAUCACAGUUCCUAUGGCUACAGGCUCACAGUGAAAAGGGAACAGGUAUACAUCAGCAUCUUCCUGUAAAACUGGGAUCUGACCUCCUUUAUAGUCAAACAUGCAGCAGGCCACCGUGCAAAUAGUACAGCAUGAAUAGAACCAAGAGAGUCCUGAAUGACUUAAGUGGAAAAGAACACUAAAUGAAAUGAUGCAUGUGAAAGGAUGUGUUCUGUCCUUGGUUCAGCUUGUAUCCUGCAUAACUGUUCACCAUUCAUCUUUCAUACCCAGAAGGGAGAUCAUCCAACUGCAAGGGUUGCAAACUGGCAGCCCCCAGGCCAAAUAAAACCCACAAACCUAUCUGGUA